rnacentral:tRNA from 1 species
GCCGUGAUAGCUCAUCCGGUGGAGCAUCUGCCCGGUAUGCGGAGGGUCGCCGGUCCAAUUCCGGCUCACGGCG